AUUGAACGCUGGCGGCAUGCCUUACACAUGCAAGUCGAACGGCAGCACGGGAGCAAUCCUGGUGGCGAGUGGCGAACGGGUGAGUAAUACAUCGGAACGUGCCCAAUCGUGGGGGAUAACGCAGCGAAAGCUGUGCUAAUACCGCAUACGAUCUACGGAUGAAAGCAGGGGAUCGCAAGACCUUGCGCGAAUGGAGCGGCCGAUGGCAGAUUAGGUAGUUGGUGAGGUAAAGGCUCACCAAGCCGUCGAUCUGUAGCUGGUCUGAGAGGACGACCAGCCACACUGGGACUGAGGCACGGCCCAGACUCCUACGGGAGGCAGCAGUGGGGAAUUUUGGACAAUGGGCGAAAGCCUGAUCCAGCCAUGCCGCGUGCAGGAUGAAGGCCUUCGGGUUGUAAACUGCUUUUGUACGGAACGAAACGGCCUUUUCUAAUAAAGAGGGCUAAUGACGGUACCGUAAGAAUAAGCACCGGCUAACUACGUGCCAGCAGCCGCGGUAAUACGUAGGGUGCAAGCGUUAAUCGGAAUUACUGGGCGUAAAGCGUGCGCAGGCGGUUAUGUAAGACAGUUGUGAAAUCCCCGGGCUCAACCUGGGAACUGCAUCUGUGACUGCAUAGCUAGAGUACGGUAGAGGGGGAUGGAAUUCCGCGUGUAGCAGUGAAAUGCGUAGAUAUGCGGAGGAACACCGAUGGCGAAGGCAAUCCCCUGGACCUGUACUGACGCUCAUGCACGAAAGCGUGGGGAGCAAACAGG
rnacentral:rRNA from 1 species